rnacentral:rRNA from 1 species
UACGUAGGCAGCGAGCGUUGUUCGGAAUUACUGGGCGUAAAGAGUGUGUAGGCGGUGCUCUAAGUUCGGUGUGAAAUCUCCUGCUUAACUGGGAGGGUGCGCCGGAAACUGGAGUGCUUGAGCGUGGGAGAGGAAAGCGGAAUUCCUGGUGUAGCGGUGAAAUGACGUAGAUAUCAGGAGGAACACCUGUGGUGUAGACGGCUUCUGGACCAUUGCUGACGCUGAGACACGAAAGCGUGGGUAGCAAACAGG